AUUGAACGCUGGCGGCAGGCCUAACACAUGCAAGUCGAGCGGAGCGGCGGACGGGUGAGUAAUGCCUAGGAAUCUGCCUGGUAGUGGGGGAUAACGUCCGGAAACGGGCGAUAAUAGCGCAUACUAUCAGAUGAGCCGAGGUCGGAUUAGCUAGCUGGUGGGUGAAAGGCCUACCAAGGCGACGCUCCGUAACUGGUCUGAGAGGAUGAUCAGUCACACUGGAACUGCAACCCGGUCCAGACUCCUACGUGAGGCAGCGGUGGGGAAUAUUCGCCACUGGGCGAAAGCCUUCUCCAGCACGGCCGCUUGGGUUCAGAAGGUCUGCGGAUUGUAAAGCACUUUAAGUUGGGAGGCGUUACCAACAUAAUAAGCACCGGCUAACUUCGUGCCAGCAGCCGCGGUAAUAC
rnacentral:rRNA from 1 species